GCUUAUCGGCGAUCUCGACUCGACUCGCUCCGAAAUUUCGCUUCGUUACGUUCCUGGAAAACUUCGCCCCGCUCCAAUGGCUCCAAACCUGCCACUCGGCCAAGUUCGCGGCGCGUUCGACUCGACACUCGACUGCAUUUCAGUGCAUCAAGUGCAUGCGCUGCAUUCAACAGCUGGCUACACUAGCUACAGUAGUGAGUAGUGAGUGGCAGUGAGCGAUUGCUGGUUCCUCGCGUUUCAUGUGAUGAUCGCAACGCGUAGGCUACAUCGAUGACGUUGGCUCGAACAGUGUCGCAUCGAUACACCAUGCACAGUAGUUACGACGUGAGGCCCAGUGAAGAUGCCACCGUCACGACGGUGCCGCAUCAGCGCAUGCACGAGUCAGAGACCAGGAAGGCCACUGAAAAUACUUCCCUGUCUCCGGACAGCAACCAGACCUACUUCGCCGACGAGAGGGUGCAGGUGCCGGAAACGGGACAUACAGGAUUUAGCUUUAGAGUAUUAUGGGCUUUCACAGGUCCUGGCUUCCUAAUGUCCAUAGCUUAUCUGGAUCCUGGCAACAUAGAAUCAGAUCUGCGAUCUGGAGUGGCAGCAAGAUACAAGUUAUUAUGGGUACUACUAAGCGCUACUAUCCUAGGUCUCGUUAUGCAAAGACUCAGUGCGCGCCUUGGCGUAGUAACCGGCCUGCAUCUAGCGGAGAUGUGUUACAGACAAUACAAAAAAGUACCUAGACUAAUUUUAUGGAUAAUGAUUGAAAUAGCGAUUAUUGGUAGUGAUAUGCAAGAGGUAAUAGGAACGGCUAUUGCCCUUUACCUCUUAUCUAAUAAAGCGAUUCCUAUAUGGGGUGGCGUGCUUAUCACAGUAAUUGAUACAUUCACAUUUUUAUUCCUGGAUAAAUACGGAUUGAGGAAGCUGGAGUUUUUCUUCGGUCUUCUCAUCACGGUUAUGGGUGUAACCUUCGGCUAUGAGUAUGUCGUUUCCGCGCCUCCUCAAAUAGAUGUUAUAAGAGGUAUGUUUGUUCCAUGGUACAAUGGAAUGAAUUACGACAAUAAGGUGCUGCUUCAAGCUGUAGGAAUCGUUGGUGCGGUCAUUAUGCCACACAAUUUGUACCUUCACAGUGCCUUAGUCAAAUCUAGAGACAUUGAUCGAAGACAGCCUGCAAAAGUCAAAGAUGCCAACAUGUAUUACUUUAUUGAGGCCUGCAUCGCACUGUUCGUUUCAUUUGUAAUCAAUGUGUUCGUCGUAGCUGUAUUUGCUCAUGGUCUUUAUGACAAAACAAAUAACGAUGUUUAUAAGGUUUGCGAAGCGAAUAAUUAUACUCUCGGCAUACAGACUUUUGAGAAAAACAAUGAAACUUUCGAUGCUGAUCUUUACAAAGGAGGCAUCUUCCUCGGUUGCUCUUUCGGCGCAGCCGCAAUGUACAUAUGGGCCAUCGGUAUUCUGGCCGCCGGUCAAUCAUCCACGAUGACGGGCACUUAUGCCGGUCAAUUCGCGAUGGAGGGAUUUCUGAAUCUACAGUGGGCGCGAUGGAAACGAGUCCUCUUUACUCGAACGAUCGCCAUAGUUCCUACGUUUUUAGUAGCAUUUUUUGCUGACAUGGACAAUUUAAGCAAUAUGAACGACAUUUUAAAUGCUAUAAUGAGCUUGCAAUUACCAUUUGCCACUUUGCCAACAAUCGCCUUUACGAGCUGUGCUCAAAUCAUGGGUGAAUUCAGAAAUGGAAUACUGAAUAGGAUUGUGUCGACUACUUUAUCAGUCCUAGUAAUAACGAUAAACAUUUACUUCGUAAUACAAACUGUUCAAGAAACUAUGCCCCAUCAUUGGGCCAUAUAUUUAGGCAUGUCUAUAUAUGCAAUUUUGUAUCUUAUUUUCUGCGCUUACUUGGCUAUUCACAUGGCUGUGAGCAUGGGCGCAACUUCCCUCGGUAACAAUUGGUUUGUUACUAAGUACAUUGGUACUCCCGUAAGUCCGACGCUCGGUAUAUCGAAUCCUGCCGUUUAUGCCAGUUUUUACAAUACAUCGGAAACCUCGUUAAACACUUAGUCGGAGUAAUGCAAUUGAAUGUGUGAUUUGUAUUCCACAAACACGUGAAAACGAUAUCGUGUUGGAAAGGUGCUUAUAUCAUCUCGUGAUGUCAGCAUGAUGUUCUAUGAACAAAUCCAGCGUUUACUAUUCAAGAAAAUGGCAGUUUUACAGAUUUAUACCAAUCUGUAGCAGAAUGGUAAACUUCUUAACAAAUAUCAGCGUUGGAUAUUUAAACGACAUGCGCUAUGAUGAGGGCAGAAAGUUUUCAAUUAUAUAGUUGAACGAAAGGUAAUAUUUAGUUUCCAAUGUGCCACACUGAUAUUUCAUCAUUAAAUUCAUUAACAUCGAGAAUAUUUUAAAUACAAGUUGCAUAUAAUAAAAGAAUAUAGAUAUAGACCAACAUAUAAAAACACAAGUAAUAAAUAUAAAAAGUCAAUUAAAGAUAAACCUUAUUUGUCAUAGCUGGAUUUUCUGGCUGAUAUUUCUUCUUGAUUUUAUAUUUCUUUUUUUUUCAAGUUCAUUAAAUUUAUCAAUAUUAUCGUGAUAUUACUAUUAUUUUUCAACUUAUAACUGUGUUUUAAGAUCGAAAAUUUAUUCGGCGCGUAAGAAUCGAUGAACUUGAAAAAAAAAAGUUAUAUAAGAAGUCUCAAGACAAAGAUGCAGUUAUGAACAAUUAUUUUGUGAUUUUUAUACAUAUAAAGACAGGAUAAUUUAAAUUAAGUUUACUGUUAAUUAAUAUUUUAAUAAACAACAGCUAUUGUAUAUUGACAUUGUUACAUUCGGUAACCAAUCUUCAUUUAAGUAUUUUCUAUAACGAUAUUUUUUAAAAUGUUGAUCUAUUUUUGUACGUAGAUUUUUUGUAAAUCUUGUACAUAUAUUAAAAUUUGUAUUAAGAUAAAAAAUACACUUUUACAUUAACCUUUAUACAAUUGUCUAAGUGUGUACAUAAAAUAAUGUAAUUUUACAUAAUUUCAAAAAUAAUGUAAACAUUAUUUCGAGUAAAUUCAUUUUUAUUGAUCUGUAUAUAAAAUAAGUAAAAUAUAUCCACAAUAUUUUUGCAAUAGCAACUGAUAGGAUAAAAGUAUGUUCGUCAAUUACAUAUCAUAAUCUGUUGUUUGAGGUAUCACAUAAGUAGUUCUAAUAAGAAUACUUUUUCGCACGUAUUAUCUUUCUUAUUAUUUAUAAGUACUUUAAAGUAAGUCGAGACACGUACCUAGUUGCAAAACUAAGUUAUAAAAUGGUCCAUUUUAAAACGGAACCAUGUUUCACACAUUUUAACUUGUUGCCCGCUGGUGUACAGACGCAUAUUCACAAAAUUCCAAUUAAUAUUAUAUAUAAAAAUUAUAAUUAUAAAAAGAAGUAUUUUUACUAAUAUACUGCAUUAUAAUUUGAAUAAUCGUCGCUAUCGCGCCUGUUUGACACAUGACUGAAUUUCUGUAAAUAAAAUUUUUUACGGGCAGUGUUCUGUA
rnacentral:misc_RNA from 1 species